GAAAUUAUUUGAAAGAGAUUCGCAUAGAUUGUGGAGUAAUCCAUAAUCCAAGCAAAAGGAUUGAUCCGUAUUAUUGGAGAUUUUUUGUAAAAGCAAAAUCUUAUGUAGAUUUUGUACAGAAAAUUGGUUCUUUGCAUCCGGAAAAAGCAAAAUAUUUGUGGAUGAAGAUAUAGUCCAUGCCACUAGAAAUACGUGG
rnacentral:autocatalytically_spliced_intron from 4 species